AUCAAGUUGAGAAGAAUUCAUUUUUCUAUUUUCUUUCUCGUUUCUUCCUCUUUCUUCUUCUACCCCCUGUUCUUCGUCUCUCGUUCUUCUGUGAGAAGAUUUUAGUUUCGAGAUCGGAAAAACUUAAGAGAAACAUUAAGAUUUGGCUGAUGGUGUUCGUGUUGUUUUUGGUUUGGCAAGGAAAGCAUAAGAAAUGGUAGAUGGGUUGGAAUCUGGAGUUAGGGUUCUGAUAUUUGGAUUUAAUUGAUGUUUAUGUAAAAUUGAGGAUGAAGACAAGUAAUUCAUGGAUGGGUUGAAUGAAUUGAAGGUUCAGAUCGAUGUUAUGAGAUCGAACUGCAAAAGAGAAGUUUGGAAUGAAAUUAGGGUUUCUGGAUGUUGUUCAGGAAGUCGAAUUGGUCAAAGAUUGAGAAUAUUUAGAUAAAGUUGUAAGAUGGGUUUGUAUAAUUGAAGCUUUAAAGUUGUUUUAGUAAUGAUCUGAGAACUAGGGUUUCGUAAGAAUAAUUCAGAGAAGUUGUUGAAGAUGAAUUGGAUAAUUAGGAAAGGGGAUUCGAGUUGUGUAUUAAUCAAUUGGAUGAAUUAGGGUUAAUUGGGUGUUUUGGGGCUGUGUUGGUGGUGAAUCGAAGAAUUAAGUCUUUGGUGGAAUUGAUUCAGCGUAUUAGCAAAGUCAGAGGAAGCUAACAGUUUGGUAUGUAUUUGGAAGUGACUGAUGUUGUCAUAGGAAAGAACGAUGAUGAUAUUGGAGUUGUAGUUAGUGGAAUUGGUAGACACUGGGCUAUUGUUACAGCUGAAGGCUGAGUUGGUUUGGAGAUUGUUGUGGUUGAUUAUUAGAGUUGAUCUGAGUAUGAUUGAACAUCAAUGAGUGGACUUGUUCAUCUAAUGGUGGUGUGUUUGUACUUUUGUAAGUGUUACUAGUAAUGAUAGCUAGCUGUGUUGGCAGUGAUGUCACAGUUAUGGAUGUAUGUUGGUUUGAUCUAAGUGAUAUGUUGAGAUACAAUUGAUGAUGAUAAAGUGUACUGUGUUGAUGUAAGUUAAUGAUCUUCCAGUGGUGUUAAUGAUGUUGUGUUGCUGAUGGAUGAGUCAUGGUGAUGUUUCGUAACUGGUGGUAUUGGUUUGAGAUAUGGGAUGAGCUUGGUUGAGCUGUAUUAGGUUGUGCUGAAGAGAAAUGGUUUGAAGUCUGGGUUUGGUAAUGAAUGUAUAUGAGUAUUAUACAACUGGUGUUGCAAGUAGUGAACACAGUACAUAAAGGAGAUUUGGUUGUGGUGAUAUGAGCUGAGUAGAAGAGGUGGAGUUAUUAUGUUGCAAGUGCAAGUGAGUUGAAGGGAAAAUGAAGUCUUAGUGUUAUGAUAUAGCUGAGUUAGUACACUGUGGGGUGAGUGAAACUUGGAUUGAGUCUGAAGAGCUGCGAGUGUAGGGAUGUGAAGUCAGAGUUGUAAAUAGUGAUUGCUGUGAAAGCUUGGAACUGCAGAAUUGCAGGUAGGCUUAAUCUUUGAUUGUAAUUGGAAUUCAGUGUUUGUUUAGUAUAAUUGUAUUGAGUUUGUUUGUAUAAUUGUAUUGUUGCAUCACUCUAGUCUAAUCAGGUUAUGUGUUGCACUA